rnacentral:rRNA from 1 species
AGUGAACGCUGGCGGCAGGCCUAACACAUGCAAGUCGAACGGCAGCAUUAAGAGAGCUUGCUCUCUUAGAUGGCGAGUGGCGGACGGGUGAGGAAUGCAUCGGAAUCUGCCCAUUUGUGGGGGAUAACGUAGGGAAACUUACGCUAAUACCGCAUACGACCUUCGGGUGAAAGCAGGGGAUCUCUUCGGAGACCUUGCGCGGAUGGAUGAGCCGAUGCCGGAUUAGCUAGUUGGAGAGGUAAAGGCUCACCAAGGCGACGAUCCGUAGCUGGUCUGGGAGGAUGAGCAGCCACACUGGGACUGAGUCACGGCCCAGACUCCUACGGGAGGCAGCAGUGGGGAAUAUUGGACAAUGGGCGCAAGCCUGAUCCAGCCAUGCCGCGUGUGUGAAGAAGGCCUUCGGGUUGUAAAGCACUUUUGUUGGGGAAGAAAAGCCAUGGGUUAAUACCCUGUGGUGAUGACGGUACCCAAAGAAUAAGCACCGGCUAACUUCGUGCCAGCAGCCGCCGUUC